GAUGAACGCUAGCGGGAGGCUUAACACAUGCAAGUCGAGGGGCAGCACGAGGUAGCAAUACUUGGUGGCGACCGGCGCACGGGUGAGUAACGCGUAUGCAACCUACCCUGUACAGGGGGAUAACCCGGAGAAAUUCGGACUAAUACCCCAUAAAGAUAUUUAGAGGCAUCUUUGAAUAUUUAAAGUUCCGGCGGUACGGGAUGGGCAUGCGUAACAUUAGCUAGUUGGUAAGGUAACGGCUUACCAAGGCAACGAUGUUUAGGGGUCCUGAGAGGGUGAUCCCCCACACUGGUACUGAGACACGGACCAGACUCCUACGGGAGGCAGCAGUGAGGAAUAUUGGUCAAUGGGCGCAAGCCUGAACCAGCCAUCCCGCGUGAAGGAAGAAUGCGCUAUGCGUUGUAAACUUCUUUUCCAGGGGAAUAAAAUUUUGUACGUGUACGGAAUUGAAGGUACCCAAAGAAUAAGCACCGGCUAACUUCGUGCCAGCCGCCGCCGUAACAC
rnacentral:rRNA from 1 species